UGGGGAAUAUUGCACAAUGGGCGCAAGCCUGAUGCAGCCAUGCCGCGUGUGUGAAGAAGGCCUUCGGGUUGUAAAGCACUUUCAGCGAGGAGGAAGGUGGUGAACUUAAUACGUUCAUCAAUUGACGUUACUCGCAGAAGAAGCACCGGCUAACUCCGUGCCAGCAGCCGCUGUAAUACGGAGGGUGCAAGCGUUAAUCGGAAUUACUGGGCGUAAAGCGCACGCAGGCGGUUUGUUAAGUCAGAUGUGAAAUCCCCGGGCUCAACCUGGGAACUGCAUUUGAAACUGGCAAGCUAGAGUCUCGUAGAGGGUGGUAGAAUUCCAGGUGUAGCGGUGAAAUGCGUAGAGAUCUGGAGGAAUACCGGUGGCGAAGGCGGCCCCCCUGGACGAAGACUGACGCUCAGGUGCGAAAAGCGUGGGGAGCAAAACAGGAUUAGAUACCCCUGGUAGUCCACGCUGUAAAACGAUGUCGAUUUUGGAGGUUGUGCCCUUGAGGCGUGGCUUCCGGAGCUAACGCGUU
rnacentral:rRNA from 1 species